UACGUAGGGUGCGAGCGUUAAUCGGAAUUACUGGGCGUAAAGGGCGCGUAGGCGGUUCGUUAAGUCCUGUGUGAAAUCCCCCGGCUCAACUGGGGAACUGCACAGGAAACUAGCGGGCUUGAGUUCGGGAGAGGGAAGCGGAAUUCCCGGUGUAGCAGUGAAAUGCGUAGAGAUCGGGAGGAACAUCUGUGGCGAAGGCGGCCAUCUGGACCAGCACUGACACUGAGGCACGAAAGCGUGGGGAGCAAACAGG
rnacentral:rRNA from 1 species